UACAGAGGUCUCAAGCGUUGUUCGGAUUCAUUGGGCGUAAAGGGUGCGUAGGCGGCGCGGUAAGUCGGGUGUGAAAUCUUGGAGCUUAACUCCGAAACUGCAUUCGAUACUGCCGUGCUUGAGGACUGGAGAGGAGACUGGAAUUUACGGUGUAGCAGUGAAAUGCGUAGAGAUCAUGAGGAAGACCAGUGGCGAAGGCGGGUCUCUGGACAGUUCCUGACACUGAGACACGAAGGCCAGGGGAGCAAACGGG
rnacentral:rRNA from 1 species